UCUGUUCACUUAAAUACAAGCAUUGUGAUUUUGGUUUGAUAUAAUCAAAUCACUGUCAGCGUAAACAUGAGGUCGGUGGUUUUGGGUUUGUUUCUGUGGGCUGCCCUUUCUCUAGUCAAUGCUGCAUGCUUCAUUGAGGAAUACAAAACAUCAGUUACGUUUUGCCAUGAUGGGACAGAUAAGACAUGGCAUCCUACUGGAUCUGUUUGGAGAAACAGUAAAUGUUUUGACUGUAAUUGUUCUGCUGAUUCCAUGAGGUGCUGUGAUGCAAUGCAGAGGCCUGUUAAUUAUCCGGACAAGUGCCAAGUGGAGUAUGAUUACACUACAUGCACAUUUGAAAUAUUUGAGAAAGUUCCCUGUUCUGCUACCGGUGGUGUUAUCGGGAAAUGACGGCCAUGAAUUAUGAAAAGGAUGCCAUCUUCAUUGUAUUAUCUGCUGAUUUAAACGACAGUAACUUGUGUUUAAUUUGAAAAAAUAAAAAACAUUAUACAUGUGUUCAUUUUCAAUUUCAAGCAUGUUUUAACAUUAAACAGCAUGACGUGACAUUGAUAAAUGAAAGUAAAUUGAUUUUACUCGUGUUUAUAUAAUUAAAACAGAAUCAAUACAG